CUAACCCUACGGGAGGCAGCAGUGAGGAAUAUUGGUCAAUGGACGCAAGUCUGAACCAGCCAAGUAGCGUGCAGGAUGACGGCCCUCCGGGUUGUAAACUGCUUUUAGUUGGGAAUAAAAGGGGGCUCGUGAGCCCCGUAUUGUAUGUACCAUCAGAAAAAGGACCGGCUAAUUCCGUGCCAGCAGCCGCGGUAAUACGGAAGGUCCGGGCGUUAUUCGGAUUUAUUGGGUUUAAAGGGAGCGUAGGCCGGCUUUUACGUCAGCUGUGAAAUUCCGCGGCUCACCCGUGGACUUGCAGUGGAAAC
rnacentral:rRNA from 1 species